UACGAAGGGGGGCUAGCGUUGCUCGGAAUCACUGGGCGUAAAGCGCACGUAGGCGGAUCUUUAAGUCAGGGGUGAAAUCCCAAGGCUCAACCUUGGAACUGCCUUUGAUACUGGGGGAUCUCGAGUCCGGAAGAGGUUGGUGGAACUCCGAGUGUAGAGGUGAAAUUCGUAGAUAUUCGGAAGAACACCAGUGGCGAAGGCGGCCAACUGGUCCGGCACUGACGCUGAGGUGCGAAAGCGUGGGGAGCAAACAGG
rnacentral:rRNA from 1 species